GUACAAUCGUAGUGACUUUAUUAUUGACUCAGAAAUAUAUGAGGUCUAAAUGUAAGAUGGUAUAAAAAAACAAAAAUAUAUUCCAAGAAAUGCAAAUAAUUAAAUUGGUAAAGAUCCUGGAGAAUAAAAAUGUGAGUAUAAAACAAUUCAUUGGAAUGUUAGUCAUGAUCAAUAGUAUACAUUACAACAAACUCAAGUCUUCAUCUUGUGGACAAAACAAUAUGAUUUCAAAGUGAUCUAAGUGUGCAUUCUUGUCAAGGCUGCCAACAGGAAAUUCUGGGAAGGCAGUGUUGUUGUUUUCUUUAAUUUCUAACCACCGCCUAGAAUGAAGUUAGUGCAUCCAACACUUAACUGAAUGCUCAAAU